rnacentral:lncRNA from 1 species
GGUCAGUUCAUCAUGAACUUCCAUAUGCAUAAGAUGCAAUGUACCUUGGCCGAGUUAAUGAAUAUGUUGGUUAUGGCUGAGCUUUCAAUGAAAGGUUUUAAAAGGUUUAGUUCUUACUGUGGAGUGGACAUCUUCUAAGAGAAAGUCUUUUGGAAAGAAAAAGAAGUCCGUGAAGAAGCAGAAGGUGGAUGGCAAGAACAAGAAGACAGGACCGAAGAAGAAGGCUUCUGAA